ensembl:lncRNA
CACACACCCAGCUGGGAGGAUGUAGUCCACUUCAUUGGAGAAGGCGAUAUUUGAGGUGGCAGGAAAAAUAAAUAGGAUUUUAAAAAGUGGACAUGAAGUGUGGGACUGAGGUAUGGAGGCCUGGAAGAAAAUAACAACCCUGAACAUGAUCAGGAAGUAGUCUAGUCCAAUUUGGUUGGACCAGAAAGGAAAAUUGGGAGAUGACAGGGGAAAGAUAGCUUAAGAGACCAUAUUGGUGACCCCAGGGCCCUUUGUUUAAAUUGCCAUUACUGCACUCCUCAUGAUGGUGGACUCGUUUGCAUGGCUGUCUCCCCACUGGACCGUACCACGUCUUUACAUCUUUAUAUCUCCCGAGUUUAGCCUAGUGCCUCGGACAUAACAGGAAUUCAUUAAAUAUUUACUGAAUGAGUUAAUAUUGUGGAGGGUCUAAAAUGUUAUCCUGGGAAGUGUUUGCCUUGUUCAAGUGAGCAAUGGGAAACCACUGAAGGUUUUUGAAUGGGAGAGAGAUUUCAGUGUUAGAAAGAUGAAUCUGGUAGUAGAUGGUAGGAUGGAUGAUUGGCAAGGCAAGAGACUGAAGGUGGGAGAGCAUUAGGAGGCUCGGAUGAUGGCCCAGGGUCAAGCCCUUGCAGCCCCUGUUAGGAUGGCUGACUGUGGGGAGGAAAAGCAGGAGGCAGGUGAGAGAAACACUGUAGAGCUGGGACGUGGCAGCUGGACAAAUGGAGGGGAGAACAGAAAGGGAGCAAGAAAGAUGGCUUCAAAAGAACGGAGGCCCCUGAGAGAAAAUAGAAACACUGGGAAGAGGAGCUUUUGGAGGAUGGAGAUCCGGGUUCUGUUUCAUAAAGCUGCUGUAUGAAUUCCUGUCCCCAGAUGGAUUUAAAAGAGCAAUACUGAAGGAAAGGUUUCCAAACACAAAAAUGAUUUUCCUAAAGACCAAGUUGUUAAAAAUAGCCAUCUUGAUUGGGCAGGCUUUCUUGGUCCCCAGGUUCAGAACUACCUGGGCAGCUCAAACGACAUGUGGCCCCCACCCCCCGGCCCAAAUUAGUCAGGGGUGGGGGUGUUGACCUGUAUUUAGAAAGCUCUCUCAGAGGGUUCUGAUGCAUAGCUCUGUUUGGGAGCCACUUCUGGCUCACCCCACACUGGACAGCCCCUAACACGCCUGGAACAGGCCAGGGAACUCUCCCCCAGCCUUAAAAGGCGAUUUCAGAUUCCAGUUUUCCUUCUACUCUGGCAGGGAAGGCGAGUCAGGCAGAUUGGCAGCUGUUCCAAGCGUUGUCCCCGACCCAUCCUGGGUUAUUACAUGAGCUGAAUGUAAUCAUUCACAACUCCUGUCUUUACAGCUGGCAUGUCACUUAGCUUAAUUACAGCACACAGUGGCAUUUCAACUCAAGGAAUCUAAAAAAGCAAUAAAACGGGUUUUGCAUAUUGUUAGGAAGGCAAUGAAGACCUUGGAACUGCAAUUUAUGAAGCAUUGCUUUAAAUUAUUUUGCAUUCUCCUGCCAUGACUCUUAAGUUAUUAACCAGCAGCGUCAGAAAGCCAAGCAGGCCACGUGUCACAUAGAGGGUGUUACAUGUUUCCGAGCAUACACGGUGUGCUGGGGAGGUGGCUGGAGGCUCCAGGAGCUGCCUUGGGGUGGGAGGGGUUGUCUUUGUUCUGAGCAUGUGUUCUUCCCAUCAGGCACCUGCCAAUCACGCUUCCGCCAUAACUCUCCCAAACCAUGGGCUCUGACUGGUCUGGGGUGACCUUCAGCAAGGACCCCCUUCCUCUUUACUCCCGGACAUCCACUGUUCCAAAAAGGCACAAGGAAAGAAACGUGGAAGAGCAAAACAAGUCCUUUUAUAUCCAGGAUUGGUGCCUGGCUUCUCUGGCUCAUUGAGUUCUUUUCCUGGUUUAUUUCCUGGUUCCUCUUAAUCUUUGAGAAUGUACUUCUUGGGCAGCCAUUUAAAGGAAAAGACUGUGACUGUGGUGUCUCUCCACCACCCUGCUUUCUCAAGCCUAGGAGUCUUAGGAAUGAUAAUAAAAAGGGACCCUGUCCGUCUGAGAAGGGGGCAGAAGCAGCAGGAAGUGGAGCAGGCAGCGCUGAGACAGAUCCCUUUUGCUGUGAGCAACAUUGGUCAGCACGAUAAUUGGGAGCAGAAUGCCAGCUGCCUCAGCAGCCAUGCCAGACGGGAGAGCAAACACCGAAAUCCUGUUGGCAAACCCAGCAGGGCCGUCGCAACAUGGCCAAAGCAAAUAGGGGCUGAGGCCGGCCCACUGCAAUGGACUCUCACUUCCCCCUUGGAUCCGGCAGAGAGAGAGACUGAGCCAGCUAAGCCCACGUAUAGGGAAUCAAGUAGCCAUGGGGAUGCUCAUACCCAUCCCUGGGCUGGGGUCCGAGCUGGACCCUUGCUCUCCUUGCCAUGGUCUUUCAUUUGGCACAGACUGAGGAGAGUCUGAUAAUGAUACAGCAUUUUCACGGCUAUUCCUUUGUUUAUUCUUCAGCAGUCCUGUGAGAUCAGUAUUAUCCCCAUCUUCCAGAUGAGAAAACUGAGGCCAGGGGAGAUCAAAGACACAGAGCCAGGACUUAGUCUCGGGGCCUCUGCCUCACUGUCUGCUGCACUUCUCAUUCCCUCCCCCCAUGUCAAUUCCCACAGUCCCUUCCUGGCAGAGCUCCCACAGUCUAAAGGGGACUUGAGUUCUUUCCAUUUCAUAGCUGAGAAGCAGAGGCUCAAAGGUGGGUUGGGGGGGGGUAUUUUUGUUUUUAGACCAAGACACAGCAGUUGACAUCCGUGAUUCUGUCUGCCACACCCACCAGCACAACCGGAGGCCCAGUGAGAUUAAUAUAUUUACGAAUAGUUUCAAUUCUUUGGAUAUUUCAACAGACUUUUUUCCUCCCUUUUUUUAAACAAGAAAGAUCUGAAUAAAUAUCUCUGGUUUUCAUGUAAUAACGUGGUUGUAUGUGGACACGGCCUUGUUAGACCCUCUUAUGACCUGCAGCCUCUUGAUGUCUCUAGGAUCCGAGGUACCUAUGAAAAUUCAUACCCUUGCCGCCUCGUUGGAAAAUUUAUAUUUCGUGGAGAGAUGCACAGUAGCUAUAUUCAUAUCCGAUAGAAGGACUGGGCUCCUAUUGAGAGAAGAAAAGCCAGCUGUUGGAUUGGCUGUUCCCUUCUGGGUCCCCAUUCCUCCACAGAUUUCCUGGUUAUUUGAAAUUUCCUGAUUAUUCUCCAACGUGCCUUUUUGAGGGGAGGGAAGGACAGGAGAAGGAAAGAGGAGUCGUUUACUGGAUUCGGAUCCUAUAACCAAUCCUUUUUCUCCUAGCGUUUUCAUUUGCUCUGCUUCUGGGGACUUUGCCGGGAAAUACCACUUGUCAGAAGGAGCCCGGGAAAGUGGAGGUGGAGGGCGUGACUGGAGCAAGUCCUCUAUUCCCCGUCUCUGGAGGGAAAACUUAGAGGGCAGGUGGGGCUGGGGGUCCCCAGGAGAGAGCGAGGCCUGUGCGGGACUAGUUUGGAGAUUCUGCUGGAGAAGGUGCGCGUGGGAAAGGCGCAGCCGGGCGAACUUGCCGGGAAUUGGAGAUUAGGACGCGGGGAGAAGAACACCUCGCUCCCCACGACACAGGCCCGUGUUGCUGUUCUGAGUACGGCUGACCCGGGGCGCUGAGCCCCGCGCUCUUCGGCGGAGAGGAAUCCCGGGUCGACCGUUACUCACUGCGUGCUUCGCCGACACCCUCACACGCGCUGUCCCGCCCGAGCGCCUCCCGGCACCACCGGCGCCCGGACCGGGAACUCGGCCCUGCAGCUGCCGGCUGCGCGGGGCCCAAGGGCUCCCGGCAGGAGAAGCCGGGCCUUCGCGCCAGCGAGGUCUGCGGAGGAUCCGCCCCGGCCGGGAGAAGCAGGACGGAGGCGCGGGGAGCUGCGCCUGCGCGCGCAGUGGAAACGCUCAGCGCGGGGCCGCCACCCGCCGCUUCCCUGUCGCUCUCCUCCCAAAGCCGCCGAGGUGGAGUCGGCUCCCCAGGAGGAGGGAAAUCGGCUUCCUCCGGGAUAAAACUCCAUGACAAAUCUUGGGGAAAGUGUAUCUCGUGUUCAAACCUGAGACACUGCGGUGAGGCGUUUUACCACGUCGACGUGCCCGCACCUUCGAAGUUGUUACCAAGUCCCGGCUGCGGGGACGACUCGAAUUCCGGACAGUGGUGGAAAUUCAGAACUGGAGAAUAGGCUCCCAGCAGAACACGGGCGAUGGCUUCUGGGCACGCCACGGGGAAACCUGGAGCGACUGAAAAGGGCUGCGUUUGCGACCCAGCCGGGACCGCGGAGCCAGCCUGCAGUUUUGAGGGGCAGCUGGCUGAGCGCCGGGAUCCUGAAGGUGACGGGCGCCACUGGGGAGAGCCGGACGCGGCCUCGAUGGUUCCUCGGGUCCUUCCAACUCUUCGCUUGCUUUCCUCACUCCCGACUCCAGCCCCGCCGACCCCAGCCCCGCCGACCCUCCCGCCCCCAGCCAGUCCUAGCUGUCCCACUCCUCUGUACCCUGGAUCUCUGAGGACAUAAGUGCAUGGCGAUCACUAGGUCCCGGAUGGCCAAGGGCACUGGCUGCUUUCUCUCAGUUCACCAGGAACUGGAGGCCGAGACACAGACCGUCAACCUCUGCAAGGGUGGAAGGACGUUAUCUCCAAAAGCCCAAGUGCCAGGUGCCUGGAAGGCUCAUGUCUUAGACCUCGCCCCGAUUGAUUUUCUA